rnacentral:rRNA from 1 species
UACAGAGGUCCCGAGCGUUGUUCGGAUUCACUGGGCGUAAAGGGUGCGUAGGUGGUGAAGUAAGUCGGAUGUGAAAGCUCCGGGCUCAACCCGGAAAUGGCAUUGGAAACUACUUUGCUUGAGGUUUGGAGGGGGGACUGGAAUUCUCGGUGUAGCAGUGAAAUGCGUAGAUAUCGAGAGGAACACCAGUGGCGAAGGCGAGUCCCUGGACAACACCUGACACUGAGGCACGAAAGCCGGGGGAGCAAACAGG